UUAUUUACUAAUUAUAUUGAAAAUUUAAACUUAAAAAAUCUUAGAAAAUUAAUAAACUUGAAAUACUCAUUUAUUAUUUAUACUUAUUACUACAAUUAGACUUAAACCCAUAAUUAAAAGGCUUUUAUUAGCUCAUAACCUCUCACUACAUUUAAAAAUCUCUUUAUUUGGGGCCAUUUCCCAUGGAUUAACCCCAUUUUAAUUCUGCUUUCCCCAGAUGACGCAAGGGUACGGCCCCCUCCCCCCAUCCCUAAGGAAUCCUUUUCUCACGGGAUUCCCGGGAAUUUUAACGGGAUUUGAGUUUUCCCUCGGCAGCUAUGGCACCUACCCUGCCCCCACAGCCAGAGCUACUCAUGGGGGGGCCGGGGGGCAGGGCUACUCCCAGCAGAGCUACAGCAGCUACGGCCAGGGCUCAGCCAAGGGCUUGGGCUACAGCCAGGGCGGCUACAGCGGCUCUUACAGCCAGAACUAGAGCGUUUAUCCCCAGGUUACUCGGUGCCAGCGGCUCCUCCCUCCUACAGCUCUGGCGGCUUUGGCUCCGGGCAGAGCUCCUCAUACCCGGCCUACUCCCAGCCCCCCACUGCUGCCUCUGCCAGUUACGGCAGCGGCUUUGUCAGUUCCAGCUAUGGCCAAGCCCUGAGCAGGGGCCACAGCCAGCAGAGCUACGACCAGCAGUUGUCCUACGCCCCACCCCCUCCCCUGAGCUACAGCCAGCAGGGCCAGUACAGCUCUGGUGGCUGUGAGUCAUGUUCCUAAAAAAAUCCGGGGUUUUGGGGCAAAUUCUGUGGAUUUUGGGCAAAAUUGGGACUGAAAUUGGGGGAUUCGGGGUGGAAUUUGGGGGUUUGGGAUAGGAACAGUUGUCCUACAACACCCCCCCAAGAUACAGUGGUAGAAAUUCCCCCAAAAUUGCGGGAUUUUGGAAAAAAAAAUUACCAAAUUUGGGGCAGAAUCCCUGGGAUUCGGGGCAGAAUUUGUGGGAUUUAGGGGAGAAUUCUUGGAAUUUGGGGCAGAAUCCCUCAGAUUUUAGGCAGAA
rnacentral:lncRNA from 1 species